AGAGUUUGAUCCUGGCUCAGAAUGAACGCUGGCGGCGUGCCUAACACAUGCAAGUCGGAUGUGCCGCAAGGUGCAUGGCAGACGGGUGAGUAACGCGUGGGGAAUCUACCUCUUUGUGGGGAAUAACGCUCCGAAAGGAGUGGUAAUACCGCAUGAGAUCCAUGGCUGGGAUGCUGUGGAUGAAACCUGGGGACCGCAAGGCCUGGGGCAAGGAGAGGAUCCUGCGUCUGAUUAGCUAGUUGGUGAGGUAAUGGCCCACCAAGGCGACGAUCAGUAGCCGGCCUGAGAGGGUGAUCGGCCACACUGGAACUGAGACACGGUCCAGAUUCCUACGGGAGGCAGCAGUGGGGAAUUUUGCGCAAUGGGCGAAAGCCUGACGCAGCAACGCCGCGUGGGUGAUGAAGGUCUUCGG
rnacentral:rRNA from 1 species